rnacentral:lncRNA from 1 species
UGUGCAAGGUGCCUGGGGGGGAGGAGGAAGACAUGGCUGAUGUGCUCUGUUUUACAGUUACUUUUACGGGUGCUGGAUAGCGCAGGAAAAAACUUCAGUGUAAAAGUUCAGGAAUUUUGCCCAAAGCGAGUCCAACUGAAAGCAUUCCAUCUGCGUAGAGACAUAGGCACGGACAUUCAUGUACUGGUUCAAUAAUGUAAGCAUGAGCAUGGUUUUUAAAACAACUGGAGUGUUUUAAAAUUGUGUAUUCUGAAGGAAUCUGUUGGGCGAGGGACUUCUGCAAACACCUGGAGUUUUGAAUGAGGCCAUGGAGUUCAGGCCCAAUCACUGCCCUGUAUUUGUACAGAGGGGAACCACAGUCUAAAUCUAUUCAUGUGAGUCUAUGAAAUCCCAAAAGUCUGAAGAAUAAACAGUCUCUAGCAGGAGCAAGUUUACAUGGAAUUUGCUAGAUCCAAGUACGUGUUGCACUGUUCACUGUGACUGAAUGUCACUAAAUGUUCUGGAGCUGCAGGAGGGAGGCAGAACAACUCCAGGGCUUGCUCGAUGUUGGCUCUCCCUUAGCUAAGGCUAUUAGCUUUAAAAAUCACAGUAAAUCUCUCACCUGCAGUGAUAGGUUGGGAAAGAUAGUUUAUUAGCACUUACCAUUAUACUUUUUUAAAGGCCAUUUGUUCACGUUUUGGAUUUGAAUAGUUACACUGUAGUUCAUUGUUGCUGCCAUGUUUCUUACCAUGUAGAUUUGUUUUAAUUAGUGGUAUUCAGACAGAGCUCAUCGGCCUUAAGGCAGGAAGAGUUACCUCAUUUAUUUGUUGCUGUUUUGGAAUUGUCAAACAGAAAUGAUGGCAGCUGAACUUCAUGAAUUAUUUUUCUCCCCCCUUCUUUCUGAACAAAUAAUUAUUUUCUAGUUCUGGUAGGACUUUACUGGGGUACACAUGGCUUCCUUUGAGUUGCUUUAAAAGAGAGAGGUUACCAGAGUGCUUUAGAUAGGCAGAUCUUAUAUUACAGAUGCAUGGUGGUUGGUUGUAUUUUUUACUGUAAUGUUCAAAACAUUAUCAGUCCACUGGGAAAUGAAUAGUGAUGCAUUAUUAAAACUGUUGCCUUCUAGGUGAGCACGUAAUUAGUUAACUGCAAGCCAUUGUUUUUGUUGCUUAUUGCUGGAAAAUAUAAUAAAGACGUUCAUUAGCAUUGACGAGCCUUUUAAAAAAGAUUUGAAUGACUGAAAUGUAAGUCUCUGGGAUGGUAAGAUGCCUAUGAAAUAUAAGAAUUAUUGUUUCAAAAUGGAAUAUGAUUGCUCAGGAGCACAGGAAUCGGUGCUCUUCCUAUUGCAGUGAACAUACAGGCUGAGGAAAGACAAAACGUGGAGAAAACCACCAAGAAAUGAAAGAACAAAGAACAGAAAUGGUGAGGCGUGUGGAGGUCUUCACAGAAAGAAGGUAUGACAAUGUCUUAAGUCAGGCAUCCAGAAACAGCAGCUUUUGGAAACACUGACUGCUUUCUGUGAGUGAAAAUAAGCCCCGUGUAUGUGAGAUGGAAGGCUGGGAAAUAAACAGGGAGGGCCUUUGAAAAUGUUAUUUUUACAGGAACGUUAUUUACUGUAUUAAGAAUGUGUCUGUGAAUCUUUACCAGCAGUGCUGAUAGCAAAAGCCUUGGUAAAGCAGUUAGAACUUGAGAAAGCUGAAAGCAAAAUGCUGAAGCUGUUGCUUGAGGAUUGAAAUUUAGACUUCUGGAGGAGACAGAACAAAGAACGUGGUGGUAUUGUGAAAAUGCCUUAAAAAUGUGAUUUUAAGAUACACAGAAACUCAAACCGUUACAAAUCUCAGUGUGAGAGGUGGGUAUUCUGCACUGUCAUAUUAGGCGGAGAAAAUCCAGCUGAGGUUAAGCUGGGUCUGAACUGGAUUCAGUCUCGAUGAUGACGUGCUAUCCAGUUUUUCACCAUCAAAAACCAGCAUUCAGUGGCUGUAAGGAAACAUGUUUUUCUUUAACUGUAUAACUUUGAAGAAGCAUUUGACAGCUUCCAUCGCAAUUUUCUCUGGCACAUUUCAAAGUGUUAGAGUAUGGCAAUGCAAGUAAUUAACAACACAGGUUUUCAAAUCAGGUUACAACUUUCACAUUUCAAUCAUUCACUACAGUUUGUGUUUACUUUAAAAUAAAAACCGGUCCUUUUACUUCACACUACCCUUGACACUAUUGUAGAAAAUCCUAGAUAGAUGCAGUGCAUUUGUCACAGACCUUACAAAUGGCACUUGAAGACGCGUUUUGCUGGUGGCACAGUUCUCUCACAUGGCUGCUGUGAAAACAGAGAACGUGCUGUCCAGAAGAUGGUGGGAGUGGAGAAGAGCGACAGGUCCCAGCUGGAGCCUUGCUACAGAGCUGCGUGGGGCUGAAGCAGCAUCCACAUUCCCAUCUCUGCUGAUGGCUCUGUGCCUGCUCUGGGUUCAAAAGCACAAGAAAAGACAAGUUUCCAUUUUCGUAUAGUUCAGUGAUUCUGCAAACUAAAGAUUGUCUUCCUGUUAUGUUUGGUAGCCAUUGGUAGGCACUUCUCCAUGAAUCUGCCUGAUCGCUUCUGAACCCUUUUAUAUUUAGGGAUCUAAGAUGACCAAGGUAGUAUUGCUUACCAGAAGAUGAGCAGCCAAGUCUGUUGCUUUCCAACCUGUAAUAGGAGAUAUUAAACCAACAACCUGUAAUAGGAGAUAUUAAAGAGAAGUAAUCUCACAGGUGAGCAACAACCUGUGAUGCUGUUUUCAUUCUUGGGUGUGAAUGAGUGAAAGGCCAAAAUCUGCCAGAAGAAGAGAUGUACUUAAAUCCAUCAGACAUGAGACCUCAGAAAUGAAGGGUAAUAGGUCUAUUGGCUUAUUUCUUUCCUUUGGGAAAGAGAAAGUUUUUCGGAUGUUGGGGCAAAAGGUGGGAUGUUGUCUUACUAAUGACUGUUCUUCACAUUUCCAAGGGUAUUUCUGCUCCUCAAAAUGGAGGUUCCUGCAUCAGAUUUAAGGGGGGGGAAAAAAAGCCGUUUAUUCCCAAACAGGGCAACCCACCUAAAGUGGGAUGGUAGGUUCUUGAGGGCUUCUGCUAGAAGGUGGGAGUGCUUUCUUUUAGCUUUCCCAAACUUGUUCCAAAAGGACAUACACUAUGUUUUUCAGAAAGUUAAAGAAUAAUUAGAACCAUUGUACACUGAAUGAAUUUCAUUCUAGAAUGCAGAGGUACUUUGCUGCUGCCUGUAGUGCAAACAGCUUAUUCUAGAAGCAUUAGAUGCUUAUAACUGUCUUAUUAUUAGCAUUUUUCCUUGACAAUACUCAGUUUCACAAUUUGAUUACUGAAAAGUGUUUUUCUACACAUCUUCAUAUAAUGUUAAACAUGUAAACAACUACAUCAAGAAGUUUUGGUGGAAAAUCACAAAAGCUAAUGCUGUUGUUGCGUGGUGAAUCCACUACGGGGUAAGUCUUCCUGCGGUCACCACGCCUGCACCCCAGGAAGGCUAUGGCAUAUCCUGCACAGCACUGUCUCUCAGCCUGGACUAGUAACGAGAACGAGCCCAGGUAUGCAUCACUGCAUGUCUGUCUGUCUGAACUGCCUUCCCUGGAUCUGGUGGAAUUAGCAAGCCUUCCUCUCCUUAAUGCCCCCAUCUUUUCAGUUGGCCCUCACUUGGGGGGGGUGAAGUGAGGACUAAAAAAGACAAUUAGGUUUUAUUAAUGGCUGGAUUAAAAAGCAAAUUGAUACGUACAAUUGCAAGGCUGACGUGACGACAGAAUGUACUCUACUGAAUUUAUUUGACAAAUACAGUUUGAAGCAUUUAGCUAGUUAUGCUUCCCAAGUAGUUAUUUAUGGCAUACUGCAUAGUGCUAUUAUAAAGGCAAAGAUCACUCUUUGUUCCUCUCCAUAAUUGAAGCGACCAGAGUGUGAGAGGUUAUCAAAGCUGUGGGUGCAGAGAAGUGUCUACUGGCACUGUCUGUAUAAAUCCUGCAGCAGAAAGCUCUGGAGUGCAAGGUCUCUAGAGAAAUAUUCCAGGGUGAUCAUCUCCUAUUUCUGUCCUAAACCACAUCAUCUUCCCUUCCCUCACCCCCUUCUGACAGUUGCCUUAUCUUCCUCCAAGGAAAGGGCUCUGACUGCGUCUCAUCAGCUGUUCAUGGCCUUUCUGAGAGGCACAAAACAGAGCCCUGGAUACCAUGAUAACCAACCCAAAGUGGCAGCAUGAAUUCAACACUGCAUUAUAUGGAUUUUUCUGGCUUGCAUCUCCUGCUGUUGCAGCACUGUCCCCUGUAGGCUUGCUUUCUAAGUGCCUCUAAGCUAACUAACAAAGCACGGGUUAAUGCAGCAAGGAUUACUGAUGUUCCUCUCCUCAGCACAAGGUUUUGAUUCUUGCUGAGGUUUUCCAAGCAUGUAAAAAGUAAGUAGUUGGCUAUUCCUGCUCAAGAGCUUUCUUUACUCUGUAAGCAUUUAUUAUGAGAAACAAAGGGAAAAGAUGCUUACCUGAAUUGUGGUUUUCUGAACAGUGAAUUGAAAUGCUCUUGCAGGGAAGUGAUAGGGAAAGAUUCUGGAGAGGAAAAUCCAGGUAAACACAUGGGUCCCAAACACACUGCUGUAUCCGUGUUAGCAGUGACUUGAGUGGUACAGUAGAUACCACGAGCAUAGACUCAUUCUGUGCUGUUUCUGUCUUAAAACAAGGGAAAAAAGAGAGAGGAAAGAAAAAAAGAAAGAUGUUGUCAUUGUGCCAUAAAUAACUUCUACAUCUUUUCUUGGGUUUUCGUUUUCUGUGUUAAAAUUUUGUAUUCAUAUUGACAGUGUUUAAAGAGGCAUUUGACAUAGAGCCUAUGUACAUUUUGUUACUUUCUGAUUCACGGUCCUUGCCUGUUUGACUCUUCUCUGUAUUCUCCUACUAAGUUGGAUUUAUGCGGGAAGAUUCAGUUAAAUACUUGAUUUAGUUCCUGUGUACUUUAGGUUAGAGGAAAAGAACAAAUAUUACUUAAAUUCACUUUUACAGUAAAAUUAAAUUCACUUUGACUCUUAAGAUCUCUUCUUUGAGACUAAUAUGUUACUAAUAUAUUAAUAUGUAAUACGUUACAAAUAGAAUGCAUCCAUUGAAGAAAGACCAAUAGUUUCUUCUAGCUACAAAACCAAGCCAUUAAUUUUUGGUCGCUUUGCUUUAACCCUGGUGAUUUUACCUGUAGACUCCCUCAAUAAUUAAUCAUCAAGUCGAUGCAUAAUAUUUCACUUCAGUGGCAUUCUUUAAGAAUGUGAAUGCUUGUUUAUGGCGUAUUUCAUUCUGACAGGUAGAUUUAGAUAUAUUUGUCUGAAAAUAUUGGCUUAUAUAGGUGAAAUAGCUUUUGGCAGCCUUUUUUUUGCUCCAGUGAGUGUUAGACGUAGUUCUGUUUCUGAUUGCUCACUGUUAAUAAAAACACAUGCUCCGCUCUAUCAUAAAGCACAGAGCGUUUGCGGGGUGUAUUGGUUUGAGACAGUUCUUCUGGCAAUGGGAUUUUUCCUCAUCCUCACUUUGCCAUAUUUUGGCUGGCUGUGUUCAAAGCUCUGUGAGAGGUUCUCCCCAUCCAUGCAGCCUGUUCUUUUUUCCCUUUCCUCUAGUAAAGAUUGCCCUGUCCCUGCUGGUGUGCUAACAGCUAAUGACAAGCUCUGAAGCUGACAGGCAAUGUGAUUCCCAGACUGCAAUGCCAGCUGCUUUGGAGCUGGGAAGAGAUCCAACUGCUAAGGGCAGCCUGUUUUGCAACGGCAGCAGUAGCAUCUGGUUGUUUCGAAGUCUGUACGUGGUGGAAGCUUUUCUCUGUUUAUCAGUUUCGUUUUGGAUGGCUAGAGGUAAGAAGGUCAACUCCAAUUCUUAUUCUUUCUUGCUUUUCAGCCAUUGCUUGAAUGUGGCAGGUUAUCUUAAGAUAACUGUAGAUGAAUAAAACUGAGUUCUGCAUAUUUCAGUUUAUGAUUCUGAGCACCGUGGAACCAUGGGUUGUAUAUUCAAACAUACAGCUCUCUGCAGUUGGACUGGCUCUUUAGUUCCUGCCACGUACAUAUGGAGCUUGCACCUGGAACAGCAGCAUCCGAAGUAAAAGGAUGGCAGGCUGACAUGUAGUGCUCAUCUGCAGGUGGCAAUUGUGAUGAGAGGUUAAUAAAUCAACUGAAAAAGGACCCAAAAAUUAGCUGAGAAAUGGGGGGCCAUUCUCACUGAGGUUGUUUGCACCUUCUGAAAUUUUCCAAGAGUGAUACAGGUUGGACUUCUAGUUUGUUUGAUAAGAUACUUCUUUUAGUAAGAUACUGCAGAAUAACAUGUAAGUGACCCUUCUAAUUGAGAGGGUUACACAUGACCAUUUUCUGUUGUUAUCACUUACUGGUAGAAUUUGGCUUGAUUUUCCCAUUGUCAAUAUAUUGACUGGUUAGUUAUCAUCUGGCUAGGUGCUUCAGUCUCAAUCCUGCUACUUUUAUUAAGAAAUACAGUCUUCCUUACUUUCUUUGAAAUGUUUUACAGCUGUGGACAUGCGCUCUGUUUUGCAAAGAGGGGAAGCUGAGCAGAAUAAGGAGAACUGACUUGUUUGAGGCCAUGCUGAAAGUAGAUGCAGAAGUGAAAUCUCUUGACAAGCCGCAGUUCAGUGUUCUGGCUGUUUGGCUCUGUGACCUCUCACAAAGGAGGCUUGCCAAGAUGAUGGAGGCAGCCUGGGAAAUCAGAACUGCAAAUGUCAUAAUUAAAACAGUUUGCCACUUUUCCCAAGCUUCUGAAGAGAGAAUCCCAUCUGGUAUGCAGUGUGGUGUGAGAUGGAGGAGAGCCCUCGCUCAAGAAACAGCUCUUUUCCCGUCAGCAAAAUUUCUGUAAUAGAUUUUGUUUACUAUGGAAACACUUGGAUUUCAGGGAGCCACCAAGUGACUUAUAGCAAGAGCACUGUGUGUGCCUUUUGCAAAAGACUACUACUCAGGCAUCUGGAAGGGAUCCAUCUACUGAGUUCUUCAUUUCUAGAGUAAAACUCAUUGAGUAGAGCUACCAGGUGGCAAGGUGACGCCAAGUUGUGCUUUGUCACCUUGUGGUGACUUGUGCAAUGCACGUCACAGUGUCCUGCAGGAGCGAAGAGCAUGGAAAGACAUGCUGUACACCACUGCUUUGUCUUGUGUGCUGAACUGCAUGUGAGUUCACCUUGGGUAGUCCAAAAGCUUGUAUAAAAAUGGGCCCAAUUUCUCUGUGGAGGAAGGAAUGGUGGCAGAGAGCAGCAAUAUAUACAUUUAAUUACUGCAGAACGAUGAUGAGGAAAGCAGAGGUAACAGGUAUCCAUAUGGAGAUUUCUGAAUUUCGAGUGGUUGAGUUUUUAGGACUUGUGUACCCCUGAAAUUGUCACCUUCUCUGGCUUUCAUAUUUUUCCAAGAGAUGGCAUCAUUUUGUAAUGCAUCUUGCUGCCAAGUCAAACAGUUCAGACUAAUGAAAUGAUUGCAUAAUGCUACUGAGAAUGUGCUGUAAAAUACUUGGAAGACGUGCCAAUAGUGAGCAGUGUAUUGUGACUAUCUCUAACAGCAAGUGCACUGGUCAUUUAAGGAAAAAAAAAAAGAACACAAAAAAUGAACAAACAAGAAAACAAAAACAACCAUGCAGGGGAAAAAAAAAAAAGCAUAAACAAACAGAAAAACCCAGCGCUGUAGAACUUGCCUUUGAAUUAUUAAAAAAUAAAAACAAAGUAAUCCAGAAUCCAAACAACUAAAAGAUUAAGGGGCUUACAUAGCUGCGAAACACAGACCCUUUGGGAGCACAAGGAAUUGGAAAAGUGGUGUUUGUAGCUCCAUCAAGAAGAGAGUACACAAGAUGAGGCCUAAAUGUAUUAUUUCUUAAAAGCAAAUGUGCUUGCCAUGGGAUUGGUUUUACGUGCAGAGGAGGUUGUAUCUUCCUCAUCUUCAACUCACCCUCAAACAAAACACUGAACUCGUUCAAGGGCUUUGCUUUUUACAAGGACCUGGGUACUUCAGGAAGAUCUACCUGUAUGUCAGCUUGUGUUUGCGUGACACCGAGUGCUUCUGGAGCAAAGAAACGGGCAGAACUUCUAAGUAAGCCAUGGCUGGAGAAGAGUGUGCUUUGCAGUGCUGUGUGCUUCGGCUGACUUUGUGAACAGACACAAAUAAUGCCUCAGGCCUCAUCUGUCAGAGCAGGAUGUAUCCUUUAGCAGAGGUGUGGGAAAGCCUAAAGCAGACUUUCCAGUGUUUAAACGGACCAGGGACAAGCAGAUCAUUGUUAAUGGGCUUCAUCUGCUCUGUCUGGUCGGUGCUGGACAGUGGGUGCAUUUGCAGCUGUAAUUGCAGGCAGCUUCUGGUUCCCUGUGCUGGAGGAGCAGAGUGGCUGCCCAUUCCUCAGCGAUGAGGAAAAGGAAAAAGAGCACAGGGCAAGGGGUGGCUGGGAGGCAGGAGAGUGGGGGAAGUCUUAUGCUUGCAAAAACAGUAAUAUAAAAAAUCCACCACUCACUGACGUAUGCUGCCUUUGCAUGUGUAUGUUGUGUGUGGCUGCCCACUCACUUGGAGUGACAUUUAAUGUUGGUACAAGCAUUUACGACUAUUGCUGGAUUCAAAGUAUUCUCUGAGAUUGCCUCAAAAGCUGCAUUUAUCCCUCAGGGGCAAAGGUGUACGUGUUUGGUUCCUUCCUUUUCAAGCCAUUCUUGCACCCUGCCAGGAGUCUGCCUGAUGAGAUAAACAGAUAGUAGGUGGAAUUUACGGAUGGUUUACUGAGCAUCAGAAGAGACUGACUAGUCAUUAGAUCGUUAGUAGUUACGCUGCCUUUACUGAAAUAAUGCCCUUCCAAGUAACUGCUCUGAGCAGGCAUGGAUUACCAGACUGAAUCUUGUGAUUCAGAUCAGUGUGGAUUGGAAGAAGUUAAUAUCCUGGGAAGAGAUGGAACAGCUGUAUUAGUAUGGGAAUUGCUACGUUUUAUGUGGUCCACUUCAUCCUAUAACAUAAGGCAAUAAAUGCAGUUAUCACACGUUCUUAAAAGAAAAUGACCGUAGCAGAUGCUGCGAAUUAGCUCUGGGAAAGCUAUAUGAUUGAGAGCUACGUGAGAGCAAAAGGGUUGAGCUGUACAGGAUGUGAUUCAUCUCAGCAGUGAUGUUGCAUUUCUUCAUCCUUUUUUGGUGUGAUUGGUGCAAAGAAAUACUCAGUAACCAAUGAAACAUAUAGGAUGACUGUAAAUUACAUGUGUGGGGAAUUAUAGGUAGAGUAAUGCUGCACAGCUCCAUUGAUUUUUACUGGGGAUGUGCAAAUUGUCUGUGCUCAAGUACUUGGCCAGCUAUCUUAGAAACAAAAUAGAACUGUCUAAUGAUGACUGUUUUGUGAAGUAAAUAGAUGUUCCAUGCUAAUCUAAUGCUGAUCUCAGAAGGUGCUACCAGAUGAUCAUGGAAAAUAGUGCAGCUAUUAGGUGAAAUACUCCAGCUACUGGGUUGAAAAUCUAUUUUGUUUGAAAUUAAGUUACUGUUUACUUGAUCUGAUGAAUGAGUCUUGGCAAGGGGAAGCUUCGUUCUGGGCUGAUCUCAGAUGCAUGCAAAUGGCUCUUGUUUUCAACAGAGCCAGGCCUGCUAGAAGAGAGUGGAGUGGUGCUCCUGUGACCAGCACAAACCAUUGCUGGCACUGAACAGUAUUUCAUGACCCCAUUAAUCAGGAAGAAUGAGAAUGUGACAUAAAUACCAUACUGAUACUCAGAACGUGACACAAUUAGUACUGAAGUCAUGUGAAUAUUUAGUGACAUUACUCCUGCAGCUGCUCUUUGCAGUGGUCACAAUAUCUCUAAUGCUUGUUCACUUUUUUCUCCUCCUCUCCUUGAGAACUUUAACCCCCGGGCAAAGUAAUUUUCCUCGUAAAUACAUGAACAAUAAAACCAGUCCUCAUCAAGAGGGUUUGUGAGCACACUGAGAACUGACUUUCUCUGAAAAAAAAAACAAAAAACCAUAAGUAAUAACUGCACAGAGCCAGAUGAGAACUGAACAAAAAGAAAGGGGAGGUUCUUGGAACAAACCCAACGUGUGUCAGAAGGCCAUGAAACACACCUCUGCAACCGUGAGGCAGGUCCUUGGCUCAGGGCCGGGGAGAGGAAGUCUGGAGAAGAUCAGACAGCAAUAAACAGUCCUGGUUUAUAAAGGACAGAUUCUGCCAGGCAGAUUUCAUCAAAACUUUAGGUCAAGUUACACAAGUAGGGGAUGAACAGGAACUGUGACAUCAGGUUGGGCAACCUGACGGAGCUGUGCAUGUCCCUGUGCAUUGCAGGGGAGUUGGACUAGAUGGCCUUUAAAGGUCCCUUCCAACUCUAAGGAUUCUAUGAUGAUGUGAUAACUAAGAGUUAUCAAGUGAGACCUGACAAGUUUGGAAAGGAAAUCCAUUCCUUUGCUUUAUACUGUUUUAAGGUACAAAUAUUUCUGAGAUGGUCCUGGGUAAGGCAUUACUUUUCUAACUCAGCAGUGACUGUAAAGAAUUCAUGAAAAUAAAUUUCUGAUACGAAUUUUUGCAUUUUUCAAUAUGUGUUUUGAUCAGUAGGAGUGUUGGUAGAAAUAUUUCCACCUGGUCUAUUAAAAAUAGUUAUUUAGGGGAAAAAAAAAAAAAGGAGAUGCCCUUUAGGUUGGAGAGAACUUCAGGAACAGAAGUAUAAGCUUAUGCCCUAAAACUGGGCUAAUUGAGGUGUAGGUGAACUGUUAGGUCAGGGCUUGAAGUGGUGAUUGAGCACCUGGUGAAGGGGUGUGGCUGUCCAGGGAGCACAUGCAGAUAGUUUGCAUCCGUGCUCCCCAGCUGACCAGAAGGGGUGGACACAGGUACAGCCCUCUGGGCUCAUGUAAAGGCAUGCUGCUGACAGGGGAGCAUCUCUUGGACCUGGACUCCUUUUGAGGAGUGUUGUACAGCCAGUGAGCCCUUUCACCAGCGGGGUGAGUUUGACUCUUCUUUCUGUGUAGGACUACUAGCCUACCUGUGAAUGCUUUAUCUGGUAUUUCCAAGGACCUGUCAGAAGCAAUUCUGCUCCUUCGUAAGCAGUAUGUGAAGUAACUGAAAGCACGUAGAUCUUAAGGCAGUGCUUUAGUGCUAUAGUUGGCUCAUGCCAGUCAGACCUUAACCUGUGUGUGGAAGCAGGAAUUUCACAGAACUUUGGGGGGAAGUCUUUGAAAUUCAGAUGCUGACUGCAAAUUAUGUAAAAUAAAUCAGUACUUGCUAAGUUUCUUUCUUUAUAAAGAUAUUAUUUGUUUUGGAGGAACGUCAGGUCUGUCUACAGCAUUCCUAUGUCCUUAAGGAAAGGUGCUACGUUAAAUAUAACAACCCACAGAUACCAUCUAUUUUACAUCCUAACUGUAUGCUGUUUGGUUAGUAGGAAAAAGGCAUUAGAAUAAAAGCAUGAAGUAGUUAAAAACGUCAGAAGCUUCUGCUUGAGAGAGUAUCGUUAUUUUAGAGCUGUAGCAAUUCUAAUUAGCAGACUUGUCCUUCAUAGAGAAGAAUGUAUCCAGAGGGUAUGGCUGCAAUCCAGCUGUAAUUGCGAAUGUUUCUUAUAUUCAACAGUCACAACUGUUGCUAUUGAGAAGUGGAGAAUGCAUUCACUGUUCAGGAAAGGAAUAUUUUAGGGAUCCUAGUCUCUAAUGAGCACCUAUCCACACAAUUAAUUUUAUUGCCAGUGAUAAGCAACCCACAGAUGUGCUUUUCAAAGCAGUGGGCACUUGAACUAGUAGUCAGAAGCCAGCACUGACCAGACAAGUGUUCUGCUACAGUGGUACUCCCAACCCUAGUCAAGUCUAUUUAGCAGGUUGUGCCUCUGUAAAACAACAAAUAUCUGUACUUCAUUCAUAAUUUCAAUAGUUGCUGGGGGGGGAUUCACAAUAUAAUGCAUUUCUUUCCUGGAAUACAUGUGAUCAUUUGAAGUUAGUAGUGAUGAAGACUUCUGCUUAGCAACCCAAAGCCAAAUAUUUACACACAGAAGCAUGGCUUGGGAGGUGGGGAUCUUACACAGGCAAAUAGGGAUAUGCUGAAUAUAAUGGUGCGUAGUUGGGAGUAGAGUAAGGUAAAUGAAGUGUGUUUUUGUUUCUUUCUUGUUGUUUCCUCACACAAAAUAAUCUGCCUUCUGCCCUUGGUCUACUUGUGCAAACAGAGUGGUUUGACCUGAGCUGGAUAAUCUCUGUGUGCUUUUUCAGUGUCGCUUAGAACUGUUUCAUGAUGUUCCAACAGACUUUGAGUGUGCAUGUAUUUGGAUGGCGUUUUUAGAGGAACAUCACACAAACGUUCAAGACAUGAAAUACCUUCAAGCCAGACUUUUAGAAAUGACAAUUAACAGAAGUAUUUCUUUUUUCAGUAAAUGUGACUUAAGGAGAUAGGGCAGGAGAAGUCAGUAUGAGCUCACCCAAAUUGAAAACAUCAAACCAGCAGCUGUGCAGUACUGCUGGGAGGAGGUAGCUGUGAUCCAAGGGAGGUUUUCAAGUGCUUUUACUCCACGUUGCUGGGAAGAAAACUGUUUUAAACUAUCGAUGGAGGGAUGUUUUGCUGUCAGUGCCCCGGUGUUGGAAAUAGAUUACAACUCCUCUCAUGGCAGUGAAGUUGCAGAUGCACAGUUGUGAAACUGGACCACAACCACAGCGCGUGUAAUCCUGCAGAGUAUUACCAACUUGAUUUGUCUUGUAGAAACCCUUAUAGAAAGGGGUUUGUAAAAUCUUGGUACAGAGCAUUUUAUAGAUGCAGAGCUUAGAUCUGGCAUGUGGCUGGCUGCUAACAGGGCCUUCACCUUGGCACAGCCAGAGGGCCCAAGUGCCACUGGGUUUAGGUGGCUAGAGGAAGGGUAAAAAUACAGGCAAAACUUUUCAGGUUGGUAUUUGUGGUCACGUUUAGUUCUGCAGGACUCUUGAGUAAAGAACUUGAUGACAGACCAGAUAAGUACUUCACAGAAAAUGCUUAUAGUAAUGAGGAGCCUGACAAUUUCCAUAAGCACGGGAGCAAUCCUGCCCAAGGUGAAUGAGUGAUUCAAAUUAAACUCCUGCUAGAGUAAGGCACACAGGAGCUUCUCAAAAUAGAGAGGAAAUCCUUCAGGUUAUUCAGGUUUAUACAACUAAUAAAAUAAAUAGGACAUCUCAUACAUCUCGUUUAUCCUAAAACCUCACUCUGUGUUUUGCUACUAUCAUGUAUUACAAGAGAUUGUCUUUUGAGGCCGAUGUUUUACAUCUGUUGUCUAGGGCUGAUGGCCUCAGUGACGUGAAAUAGGAAAAGAGUAAUUCCAUCUAUUGACUCUGUGCAGCAUUUCAUCAAACUCACUGGAACUGAAUUCGCCAUCUGUGCCUUUUUGUCAGGGUCAGUAAUAGCUUUUUCUAACCAUUUAUUUCUUAGAGGGCCCUGUUUUCCCUGCCAGGUACGUGACAUUAAUACACUUGCUAAUGUACAUUCCGAAUAAAAUUACCAGGUAGUUGCUACACUUUCUUUAAAGGCUGGUUUGCAUUUCUUUGUUACCUCCGUCUUUGCAGAGAAGCUUAAAAAGUAAUUUUUUGAAUGAGUUAUUCUCUUUUCUCUGCUGAGACGAAUAAUUCACAGAGCACCUUGUGCCUUCUGAGGCUGUUUUCAAGCUGGUAAACCAGAAAUGUCACUUAGGAGUUCUAUUACAGGCUAGAGACACCUCUAACUGGAGCACCGUGUACCAUACCUACCUCUGGAAAUAGGGUUCGGCUCCCUUUCGGUGCGCUAGAGAAGACAGCUUCAGGUGGAGUGUCUGAAUUUACUCUGCCUACAUUUGGCAGACAGAAAGGCAGCAGUUGUUUUUGCUUCUCUACAGCUCCCUCCCCAGAUAUCUCCCUCCUGGCUGAGCGGUGGAAGCUAACAUUUAGCCCUGGAUGUACCCACGCAUAUUUGCUGUCAUCUUUGAACACUCCGCUUGCUUUAAUCUCUUGGCACUCCUUCCUCCCUUCCCAAUUUUGAGAUGGCUGUGGAUCUCCUUGAGGAGCAGGUGCUUGUCAAGGACUGACUUCAGGACAAUACAGUUCCUGGUUAUGUUCCCCCUCCCCAGCUCUGGCCUGAUCUGGCUGCUGCUUUUGCUCAUUGCGGGGAGGAUGCAAACAGCAGCAGAAGCCUGCUGGUGGUAACUGGAUAAAAGAAACAAGUACUUUAAGUGCUGCAGUGAGAGGAGAGGUACUUCCUGGGCAGGUUGAGGAGGGUUUCUGUUUCGAAAGGAUGAUAUUAAGCUUCCUAUUGUCUUGGCUUUUUUUUCCUGUUUCACUAGUUGAGCAAAUGUAUGUCUUUUCCUUGCUCAACUGUUUCGUUCUGUCUCUUUCUGACUUCUACAUGUCCCUCAUUCUCAUCUUCCUCUAUUAGGUGUUAGUUGAGUACUGCUAAUCUGCACUCCUGUGCAAUGAUGAUCGCUUGGAAAUAGAGAUUUCUUUCUGGCUUUUCAGAAAUGGAAACGUGGCCUCAGCAGCAUGGGGCAGCAAGGAGGAAAAGCUGCUGUUUGAGAAGCAAUAAAGGAUGAGCUGCUGUGUCCUAUUCGUUGUGCCAGGCUCAGAGGGAGCAACGGGCCUGGGUGUGCCUCCUUCCUCAGCUGUGGCAAUGCCAUCCCUGGAGAUGAAGGGGCUGAGAUGCAUGAGCCUGGGAAGGGGAAGAACAUGGUGGCAUCUUGUUUGUGAGGGCAGUGCUUUGACUGACUUAAGGGCGUCAUCUUCUGCUUCUAUCCAAAUUGAUACCUAACCUGCUGAGGCAGCCUUCAAUCCUACUGUAUCUGUAUAUCUGGAAGCUGUGAACAGUUUGCAUUUCAGAUACUUUAGUUUAAUGGCGAGCUACGAUUAAGUGCUCCUUCGUGUAUUAACGCUCACAGUUCUUUGAAAACUGCGAAUAUGGUGCAAACUCCUUUUAUGAGUGUGUGUGUGUGCAAAUUCCAUUCCAGCCAGCUGGCUUUUUGUUUUGUGAUUCCUUUGCAAUGUUCUCAGCUGUCAAGUGGAUUUUAUCAGCGGCCACGUGUGACUGCGGUGUUUCAUUUGAGAUCCGGCAAGGUGUCCCAGUGAGCAUUGCUGUGUGAUGUUAAUGUAGGCUUCUCCUCUUGUGCUCCUGUGUUACAGGUUGGUCAUCUACGAGAUCAGUCUCUCAUCAGCAUUUCCCUGUACAAAGUGCUUGGCUUCUUGGGGUGUAAGGACUCUCAUGUCUUCUCUGUUGUUACUGAGGAGCUCACCUGAGACCUUCUCAGUGUUGAUACAGACUGGGGGCUGGUUUGUCCUGUGCUGGUGACUGCAGCUUGGCUGGGUGGGUGUGCAGUGCUUUAGAGAAGAACAGGGGGAUCCUGGGUGCAAAGAGACUGUUUCAGCCUCGCUCUUAGUGGCUGCAGUGCCAGGAAGGCUGUGGUGUUAAGUGGAGAGCAACUGUAUUUUGGAUUAGCAAUCAGGAAAUAGAGACGCUAAAUCAAUGAAGUUUAAAGGGGAUAAUGCUGUUACAGGAGCAGUGAUCAACAGAAAUUAAAAACUCUGCACAAUAACUGUUAUCUGCCUGUCCAUUUGAGUUACCUCCACAGGUUCUUGCCUCCUCACAGCCUGCUAAGGGCUUCCUAGCAGAGGCUUGUAUGUUCUUUAUUUCCAUACAGGCGCUGUGCUUGCAGAGGCCAGUCAGGAUCCAGUGAGUCUUCUCUCCCUUCUGUGCUCCCAGCCCAGUAGAGGAGUUCCUUCAGAUGCAGACCUUGCCUGCGGGAAUGUUUUAAUCCUUACUUUGACGGGGAUGAUAUUGCGGUUUCUCUCACAAUAGUUAAUUGGCUGCCCUCUUCUUGCUGUGGGGGAUUAUGAAUCCCUUGGACAUGGUUGGAUGAGAUAAGAAAUGCCGGGACAGUUAAAUGGAGUCCGUUCAGGGUUUAGCCAAGCAGAAGAGUCCUCCUUAGCAAAUGAAGCAGAAUAGCAAUAACUCUUUCUGCGCUAUAGGGUGACCAACCCUGAGAGCAGAUUAUUUUGUGUUAUGAAUGCAAUGGCCUCUAUAAGCACCUAUCUUGCUAAUGACGUUUUGGGCAGUUAUGUAAUGGGGCUGAAUGCAAACAGCUUGCUUUCUACUCUUAUCUGAGGGGGGGGGGGAAAGGGCAGUACAAAUAAAUAUGCUGUGAGCUGCGGCUUUAAUAAAAUCAGAACUUUCAAAGAGGCUAAUUUAGAUGUGAUGUUAGAUAAUUGGUCUGUGUAAUGUGUUUUAUGUGAAGUUCAGUAAAUACCUUCAGUAAAAUUGCAUAUCACUUUAUAGUGAAGGUAAUAAACUGGUCCAGUGAAUUCUUCCUAAUGCCAUGCUCGGUUUGCAAUCCUCUGCCCUCACAUUAUUCUCUUAGUUUUCACAAUAAGCCUCGAAGUGCUGGCUGUCAAGGAGGAGUCGGGUCUUCCCACAAGUUGGCUUAGGGGAACAUUUUAACACAUCCGUGGUGGUAUCUGUGACUAUCUCUUAUGAUGCUGUGGCUGGAAAGCAGAUGACAGCUGCAGAUAAAACACGUGACAUAAUGUAUGAUUCAUGUGGGAAUGGGAUAGGAACCUUUGAGAAUGUACUUCCUCUUCAGAGAGAAGCAUCAACAUGUACGGUUCAGUAUGUCACUUAAUGAACUUUCUUAGUCUGCAGGUCGGGCCUGACAUUAAGCAAAAGGGCUCAGAGUAAUUGUGAUCAGAUGGCUUAAAAGGUCGUACGUAAAUUGAGUUCUGUGGUCACAGAUUACUUUUUAAUGGAUUACAAGCUUUAUUGUGAAAGCACUGGUUAUGAUCAGUUUAUACUUGACGAGAGGCUCUAAGACAGAUUAGGUGAAAUUAAAAAAAGCAGAAAGCUGGGUUGAAUGUCUUUUAGGGUUAAUGGGGCUUAAUUCCAUCUUGGCCACUGAGAAGCCUUCAGUAUGCGGAUAAACUCCCAGGCAAAAUAAUCACAUUCCAUCUUGGGGCAUCUGAAACUAAAUUGGAUGAAGUACUGGAAAAAAACCUGUCAAGAGCAAUUCAGCACUAGCAGUAAAAUGGACUGAACAACCUUGGUAAACAUGGCCUUUUCAAACAGUCCAUCUCAACAGCGUAGUCUGGCAUAUCAUAAUUUUGCUCCUAGCAGAUGAAAAUACUCCAGUGCCUCAGACAGCUCCCAAUAGAGGCUGAUAGAGCUGUGCUAGAUUUCUGUCCAAGGAACAGAAAUCAUUUUCACCCUGUAUUUUUAGCUUCUAGAUGCCUCGGAACUGAGAUACUGUAGUCAGUCGUACAGCUGACAGGGGAGCACAGGGACUUGUUUACUUUGAUCAGAAAAUUAGACCUUUUUUGGUGUUGGAAACCCAUCUUGAUUGUUAUUUGGCAUGAACUUAUUUGACGCUAAUAGAAUGAAGUGAAAGUAUGUCUUUGGGCAGACUGAUGCAAUAUUAGUAUACUUAAAGGAUGCACAAGGAAAUCCUGCAGUAGGGCUAUGGCACCUGGGUACGUUCAUAAACAUGUCAGAUGUUUGUUAAUCCAUGCCGCUGUCUGAUCAGCUGCUCCCAUUGUAAAGCGCUGGUAUUUUGAGCUGGGUGUUUGUGGAGCGGAGUGGCUGUGAGGGUUUGCAGGCAGUUGUUCUGUGAAAGCUCCUCCAUGUUAAGAUGGCUGCUCUUGAGAGGAUACAGUUGAUGUAUUCUCAUGGACCGAGGAAUUCACCAAUUCAACUGAAGGUCUGCGUUCUCAAAAGCCAACUCUGAGUCUGCUUCCCCCUGAAUCUGUUUAAAACUCACAUUUUCAGAUUCCAAGGUAGUCAUUAUUUUAUAGCCUUCUUUGAGCCCUUAAGUCCUCAUGGGUUGGCAGACUAUAUGAAAAUACAGGUGAUUGUUUGGUGUUCGGUCCGCAGUUGCUGAAGUUAUUGUACAAUUGAUGUAUUCUGUAUAUUUUAUUCAGCUGUAUUAUUCUCUGCAGCAUUCAGGACUGG